rnacentral:rRNA from 1 species
GACGAACGCUGGCGGCGUGCUAAACACAUGCAAGUCGAACGGAAAGGCCCUGCUUUUGUGGGGUGCUCGAGUGGCGAACGGGUGAGUAACACGUGAGUAACCUGCCCUUGACUUUGGGAUAACUUCAGGAAACUGGGGCUAAUACCGGAUAGGAGCUCCUGCUGCAUGGUGGGGGUUGGAAAGUUUCGGCGGUUGGGGAUGGACUCGCGGCUUAUCAGCUUGUUGGUGGGGUAGUGGCUUACCAAGGCUUUGACGGGUAGCCGGCCUGAGAGGGUGACCGGCCACAUUGGGACCGAGAUACGGCCCAGACUCCUACGGGAGGCAGCAGUGGGGAAUAUUGCACAAUGGGCGGAAGCCUGAUGCAGCAACGCCGCGUGCGGGAUGACGGCCUUCGGGUUGUAAACCGCUUUCGCCUGUGACGAAGCGUGAGUGACGGUAAUGGGUAAAGAAGCACCGGCUAACUACGUG